GCGUGCUUAACACAUGCAAGUCGAACGAGAAAGUUCCUUCGGGGACGAGUAAAGUGGCGCACGGGUGAGUAACGCGUAGAUAACCUGUCCAGGUGUUCGGGAUAGCCCUUCGAAAGGGGGAUUAAUACCGGAUACGUUAAUCUUUCAUAAGUGAGAUUAAGAAAGGUGGCCUCUAUUUAUAAGCUAUCGCAUUUGGAGGGGUCUGCGUACCAUUAGUUAGUUGGUGGGGUAAUGGCCUACCAAGACAUCGAUGGUUAGCGGGUCUGAGAGGAUGAUCCGUCACACUGGCACUGAAACACGGGCCAGACUCCUACGGGAGGCAGCAGUGAGGAAUAUUGCGCAAUGGGGGCAACCCUGACGCAGCGACGCCGCGUGAGUGAGGAAGGCUUUCGGGUCGUAAAGCUCUGUCAGAAGGGAAGAAAUGUGUAGAGGUUAAUACCCUUUGCAUUUGACGGUACCUUCAAAGGAAGCACCGGCUAACUCCGUGCCAGCAGCCGCGGUAAUACGGAGGGUGCAAACGUUGUUCGGAAUCACUGGGCGUAAAGGGCGCGCAGGCGGUUUGAUUAGUCAGAUGUGAAAGCCCACGGCUUAACCGUGGAAGUGCAUUUGAAACUGUCAGACUUGAGUACCAGAGGGGGUAGUGGAAUUCCCGGUGUAGAGGUGAAAUUCGUAGAUAUCGGGAGGAAUACCGGUGGCGAAGCGACUACCUGGCUGGAUACUGACGCUGAGGCGCGAAAGCGUGGGGAGCAAAC
rnacentral:rRNA from 1 species